rnacentral:rRNA from 1 species
GAUGAACGCUGGCGGCGUGCCUAAUACAUGCAAGUCGAGCGAACAGACGAGGAGCUUGCUCCUCUGACGUUAGCGGCGGACGGGUGAGUAACACGUGGAUAACCUACCUAUAAGACUGGGAUAACUUCGGGAAACCGGAGCUAAUACCGGAUAAUAUAUUGAACCGCAUGGUUCAAUAGUGAAAGACGGUUUUGCUGUCACUUAUAGAUGGAUCCGCGCCGCAUCAGCUAGUUGGUAAGGUAACGGCUUACCAAGGCAACGAUGCGUAGCCGACCUGAGAGGGUGAUCGGCCACACUGGAACUGAGACACGGUCCAGACUCCUACGGGAGGCAGCAGUAGGGAAUCUUCCGCAAUGGGCGAAAGCCUGACGGAGCAACGCCGCGUGAGUGAUGAAGGUCUUCGGAUCGUAAAACUCUGUUAUUAGGGAAGAACAAAUGUGUAAGUAACUAUGCACGUCUUGACGGUACCUAAUCAGAAAGCCACGGCUAACUACGU